rnacentral:misc_RNA from 1 species
ACAGCUGAGUUGGAGAAUUGAUAGGCUUGAGAGAGCAAGAAAUAAUGCAAGGCAAGAAAUCACGUCUGGAGGAGAAGAGGAGUUGAAUUUAUUGAAGGAGAUUCGAGAACAACUCAAAUCCAUAGAGUCUGAGAUGAAAAGCUGGAGAGCUAAGAAAUCCCUUGUUCCAAAUGAGCCAUCUUUAGAUCUUCUCCAACAGGCGAUGGUGUACUUUUGGAUGUAAUGAGUUAUAUCAUCUCCGAAAGCUGCUGUUAACAUUAACCAUUUGUGUAUCAUGGUCUGAGAACUGGAAUUGUGUGAAAAUUGAUAGCAAUACUUGGAUUAGAGUUAUUUUCCAUAUGAAAUUUCCUUUUAGAACAAGUGUGUUUUUUACUGGAUUGCUUUCAGGUAAGCUAGCAUGUAUGUUUUUUACUCAUCAAG